AGUUGGAUGUCAUGGGUCGGUCUAUGCAGAUUCUUCCGUAAUUGAUAUCGGUGCUUCGUGGAUAUGCAAAUGGGGUCUUUUUUUCAAAUCUGGUUCCGGAGCGUAUGCAAAUAAGCCCUUUACCAAGAACAAAACGGUUGACGGCAACAAAAAAAAGCGACAAAAACACUGUAGGCCAGGGGGGCAACUGCUGAUGGGUCCGAUGUCGAUUAUAAGGGUACCGAAAUUUAUUAGUAGAGUUCUCGCCGUGCUAUUAAAGGUGUGAAUUCACAUUUCCUACUAGGAAAUUGGUGGUGAUUUGGUAUGGUGUUGUGGGAAAAUUUGUGGAAAAUCAGAAAAUGUGAAAUUGUGUUUAAGUGCGGAUCAACAUUGCCUAGAGCCGAGAUCAUUUAAGUCUUCAGCUCUCUGUUUGGAUGAAAUGGUACUUUGACUAGAAAACUUUUGGAUCAGUUUAGUUCGCUUGAUUGAUAGGAUUUUUCCAUACUCGAAACAUGUAUUUGGCCAAAAACAGUUGGACAAUGUGUAUUUAUCACUUCUUUUGUGCUAUAAUAGCCACUAUUCAUUUGCAAAGUUAUUCAAACAUGCUUACAUGUUUGUACAUUUAACGAUUGUGAUACAUUGGAGAAUAUUAUGAGAAUUAUAAUGAAUGUCAAACAAUAUUUAUUUUUGAAAAUACUGCUUAGCUUGGGCCAAUUUCAUUCAAAAUAAGCCACUACUUUUUUCUGCUUGUUCAUAUUGUAGUCCUAAAUGCCGUCCUUUAUGUAGAUGAGCUUAUUGUUACAUGUUUAUAAAACGUUGUGGUAAGAAUUUUGUAUCAAAUUGAUAUUGUUUAAACUUAAUUAAAAUUAUUUCAAUUUUGCAA